GGCUCUGGCCCUGGCCUGUGCUGGAAAGAGACGUCCCCAGGAGGCAGGAGCAGAAGGGACUGGGCUGGAGGAAAAGCACCCCAGGGAGAAGGAGGACUCUGCAAGCACCAGCACAGUGUCCCAGGGCUCUGUGCUUUGUGUGGUGCAAGCUACUUUUCUCGUUCUGCCCAAUCUCAAAAGCAGACUCACUGCAAGACAAGUUGGGUCUGGGGAACUGAGAAUGAGAAAUCAAAAAGCUCUCAUGGCUCAGGCUCAGAGGAGACUGGAGGAGACCAAAUGCCAGCAGCACUCAUUGGAAGUCGUCAUGAAGCUACCGAACACAAACUAAUGACUGACAAGGCUCAGUUACCCCAGUCACCAGGGAUGUCACCAACAGCCUCACUGCCUGAAUUGCACUCCCUUCUCCUCACCCUGUUACCUCUCUGCCUGGAGCCCAAGGAAGGAAGAGGAGGAAGGUGGAUAUUUAUGAGUGCAUCAGGAAGAUAAAAGAGAAGCUAGUAGCAAGAGCGCUAAAAUGCCAUUAGAAGUUUGACUCUUACAGCAGCUGCAGAAAGACGGUUAGGAGUACAAUAUAGAGGUCAAGACCUGUGAAGAAAAGGUGAGUACGUCCUCCAAGGAUAUUCCAGCACUCUGGGGACUGUCUGUGAAUAAAUCAGUCUAGCUU
rnacentral:lncRNA from 1 species